rnacentral:rRNA from 1 species
GACGAACGCUGGCGGCGUGCCUAAUACAUGCAAGUUGAGCGAUGAAGAUUGGUGCUUGCACCAAUUUGAAGAGCAGCGAACGGGUGAGUAACGCGUGGGGAAUCUGCCUUUGAGCGGGGGACAACAUUUGGAAACGAAUGCUAAUACCGCAUAAUAACUUUAAACAUAAGUUUUAAGUUUGAAAGAUGCAAUUGCACCACUCAAAGAUGAUCCCGCGUUGUAUUAGCUAGUUGGUGAGGUAAAGGCUCACCAAGGCGAUGAUACAUAGCCGACCUGAGAGGGUGAUCGGCCACAUUGGGACUGAGACACGGCCCAAACUCCUACGGGAGGCAGCAGUAGGGAAUCUUCGGCAAUGGACGAAAGUCUGACCGAGCAACGCCGCGUGAGUGAAGAAGGUUGUCGGAUCGUAAAACUCUGUUGGUAGAGAAGAACGUUGGUGAGAGUGGAAAGCUCAUCAAGUGACGGUAACUACCCAGAAAGGGACGGCUAACUACGUG